rnacentral:lncRNA from 10 species
GAGAGUGUGAAGUACACUCAGCAAACAAUGGAGGAGGCUCUGGGGAGAGUGAAGCUUAUGCAGGCCGACCUAGGGGGCACUGAAAUCUUGGCACCACUCCAGAACAUUUACAGGGGACCCUCCAUCCCAGGCCACCCCCUACAGCUUUUUGUCUUUACAGAUGGAGAAGUUACAGACACGUUUAGUGUAAUUAAAGAAGUUAGGAUCAACAGACAGAAACACAGGUAGGAAGAAAAUGUGAUUUCCGGGUGAUUGGUGCUGAGUAGUGACACACAGACUCUAGUGCUACAUGAUGCCGGUGUUGACCUUCCUUCAAGAGGACCAAAUGAUUUCAGAAUUUAGUUUUAGCAGCUGAAAAUUUAUUUCUCCCUGUAAACGUUAAAAACAGUUUUCCAAAUAACAUCAACAACACAGCAAAACCAUUGUUUCUUAUUCUUUCUAAACUACAACGAACACAAGAAUUGAAUAGUAAGAUGUUAAUUUUUUUUACUAUAAACAUUUUUAGAGAAGUAAAACAUGCUGAAAACUACACAAAUUAUAAGCAUACAACUGGACUCAUUAUCACAGUGAAUGCACUGUGUGAUCGCCACAUAGGUAAAAACUGGAAUGGUCGUAGGCCUCUCCAUCUGUACCCUUUUCCAUCAUGUCCUAUUCCCUGUCACUACACACUAAAACUUUCCUGACUUACAAUACCAUGGGUUAUUUAUGCUUGUUUUUGAAUGAAAAUAAAUAAGUUAUACAGU